CGGAAGUCGCCCCCGGAGGCAGCGCCAUGCCGCGCCGCGCCGUGAGGCAGCGGGAGGAUAUAGGGCGGCGCGGGCGCCAUCUUAACUGCGGCCUGAGCGCUGCAGGUCGAGGCAGAUAGCGCGGGUCCCGCAGCACUGUGCUCCUCGGAGACUUCAGCUGCAAACGUUUUCUGGUCCUGUAAACCUUUUCUGGUCACAGAUGAGAGGGACAAAAGUCUCCAUUAAAAAUAUAGAGCAUCAGAAGUCACCAAAGACAGUAAUGGCCUAUAAAACGCAUGCGAUCUUCCAGUCAACACAUCAAGAGUAUCCUUCAUUGCUUGGAAGCAGAGGAUUUUAGUUCUUCAAAGAUCCAUAAAUAGAGGAAAACAAACUUAAGCAUUCUUUACAGAAACAGUGAAAACCAAUUAACAUUUAAUUACAAUGAAGAAACGAGAACAAACAGAAAUGAGUUAACCCUGGGCCUCAGAAGAAAUCAUUGGACAAUGUUUCGGCCAUGAGACUGACCUCAGCGUUCCAGCUCCCAGCAGAGACCUGCAGCACCUUCUUAUGCCAGAAGAAGCCAUGGCUGGAGCCACAGCCAACAGCAUCUCAUGGGUCUUGGGUGGACAAGACCAAGGCUGAAGCUUUCUUAGCAGCCUAUUGUAUAUGCUUUUUCUAGAAGUGCUCACAGGAUGAUGAGGAAAAUAGCUGUCAGGAAUUCAGAGAAAAUUCUCAUUAACUUGUCCCAGUACACAUUUAUCACCAAAGAUAAAAAAAAGAAAAAAAAGAAAAAAUGAAGAGGCAAUAUAUUGGAAAUAUAUUGGACAUCUGCUCUGAAAAAUGACAAUGAGAUGGUACACCUGUGUACUUGGGCUACACUGAAGUAAGCUAUACCCGUUGAGCAUUAUUGAUAUAACAACUGAGUAAACUGCAGAAGUUCCCCAUUUAUCAUCCUAAUGUGAGCUAUAAAUGAACAAAAACCAGUUUAUUUUUACGAUCCAGGGGUGAGUUUCUAGAGAGGCAGAUACGUUUUUGAUGAGUAGCACAGAACAACAAAUAGUAAAAAAAACAUGAAAAUAUCAUUGUGAAACUACUCCCCAAAGGAAAAGACUGUUCCGCAGUCCCAGUCUGCAUCUGUAGCUGUCUUAUAAUUUACAUGGCUUAACUAGAAUUCCUCCAGGAAAUACCAUUUGUUCCAAAUUAACAGUCUGAAUGCUAAGAGGCACUGAAGGUAGUGAAGCUAAGGAAGCAGAAAUGAAGGACCACUUGUAUGUCUCUUCCCUGUCUAGAUUACCUUGCAGUUUUGGAUGCAAAGGUUGUGAUAUAAAUUAUGCUUUUCUUGCCUAACCCUGUCUCAUGAGAUACAUGCAUUAUUCUAUUUAACGCCAUGCAAAUCCUGUUUUCAGACCUCCAGGUCCAUGAAGGAAAGGUUAGCAGCUAAAGAGAUCUUUCAACUCCAAUAUACAGAUUUUAGUGUAAGCUGAAAACAAAAACGCAGCCAGCAAGAGGCAGAAGAGGUUCCCCGAAAAGGCACUGAGGACAGCAUGGGAACAACAAAAAAUGCCAAUGGAAAUGCUUUAGCCAGAGAACAAUGAGACUAGCAAGUACCAGUGUGCAGGUGGGGCACAAUAAAACCCGUCUGCAAGCUGAGCCAAGAAUAAUCUACUUUAAAAGUGCUAUGCUUUGCUACUUAGAAAUGUUGCUCUUGUCCAAGUGUUUUGUAUUUGCCUCAGUGCAGUUCCAUUUUUAUUUUUUUUUUCCCUUUCUUUUAACUAAUUAGAGGCUUAUGUAAACCAGAGGGGAUUUCUGGGAGCCCUUUGGGUUUGUAAAUUAUGCAAAUGACAGCACUAUGAUGUUGGAUCAUAUUAUUAAUUGUAUAUUUUGUGGUUCAUGUAUUCCAAAGAGUAUGUGAAACAAGUUUUUUUUUUUCUUUCUUUUUUUUUUCUUCCCAGUCCUCGAACACAGUAAGUCUUCGAGCAGAUUGCAAAAUGACUUUUCUACUAUUAUUUUUUUAAUCUUUAAGAAGAGUAUAUUGUUAACGCUACAGACUAUUCUGUGAGGAUAGCUUUACAACAUUGUGUAUGCACUAUGAAUAGAACAAACUUCCCAGAUGAUUAUACUUUAAAGCUGGAGGUCUUUCUGUAAAUUUUAAACAGUGUUCUAUUAAGUGCCAUCUAUAAAAUGCUUGAUGUCUUACCUCUUGGGAUGAUUUGUGAUUUUGACAGAGCUUUUGAAAUCCCGAAUGAAAAACUCUUUUGCUAUAGGAAGCUGAUUGGUAACUGGAUAAAUUGCUCUAUAAUCUGAGCAUUGAACACUUAUACGUAGCAAGCUUUAUUUUGCAAUGCAUUCUGCCUGCAGCAUAAAAUAGAAGCCCUCUCUUUAUAUAAUGCUAAACAGUCGUCAGGAAUGCAUAUAAAGUUUUCAGAUGUUGAGUAAAACCCUGGUGAUUACCCUGAAAUUGCCUGUGGUUGAAGAGCACAGCACAGAUAUCUUUCCGUCCUGAUUUGAAGUUUAAUAAAGUAAUCACAUUGAAUAAGUUUUCUGUUCCAGAAGCAGUGUUUUUGCACAUGAAAUGAUUCCUGUCUAUCAAUUAACAAGAUCAUCCCAAGUAAAAGGCUUUUAUAUAGAUAAGCUGCAUUUACAAGCAUCAUAAUCAAUUUAUGUUCCAACUGCCAAUUUCUGCAGCUAAUUCUGCCAAUUUUCACACUUUGUCAAUUAUAAGUGGAAUUUCCUUUGCAUUAGGAGACAUAUCUUUCAUUGACAGAAAAAUAUCUUUGUUUUUUAUGAUAUGCUUGCAGGGUAAGAAUACAGCUUCCAUAGAACAUUCGACUCAAUAAAUUAAAAAUGAAAAAUUGAAAGAUAUCGUACAUGUUUUGUGGAUUGGACAUUUGGAGCACGCAAACAUCUGCAUAUUUAUGUUCAAAGUCUCACAGGUACAGCUCAUGCAAUCCAUACCAUUGUAAAUCCAGCUCAGAUGCAGGUAGUAUAACAGGUAUGCCUGACUAGGAUGUCUGUGUAAUGUUUCUGUCCCUGGAAAAGUACAGGAGACUUGUUUGCUUUUUUUUUGCUGGGGAAUCUGUAAUAUGAACCCUUGAUAAUUUUCCUGCUUUCAUGAAACUUUUUCAUAAAAGUCUUUCUCCAUAUACCUUUUUCAGAAAUAACCUUCCAGAGAGACAGCAAUGACAGAUUUACACAUUUUUAACACAGGGUCAUCUGUUUAUGCACAGUAUGAAUGCCAAAUUUAGCUGGUCUUUAAAGGGGAAAGAGCCAGCAGAAUCACUCAACUUGCAUGUGUAGGCUUCAGAUUUAGGAUGCAAAUAUCUUGGAGCGGGUCGGCCUUUUAUUUUGUUCUGCAUGUGGCAGGCAGUUACAGAGACCUGCUGUUGUGCUGAAUCACUCACAGUUGAUGUGACAGUGAGAAUCUAGUGGGAUGCUGUCUGCUGAUUUUAUUUUUGAGUGGUAGGUACUGCCCAUACAAACAACUGCACCCUUAAUGACUGUAGUAACCUGCUGGAUAAUUUAAAUAUAUAUUUUUUUGCACUGUUGCAGUGUUAUGAUCCAUUGCAAUCCAAGACUGGUGAGAUCUGAAACCCCAGGUUUCCCAACUUUCAUUAUAAUAUUUUCUCUAACAUUGUUUAGGUUGGUGCAAAUAUAAUAAGCUCUGAAUUCACUCAUCCUGUACAUAUAUGCCAAGUUAUUUAAGAAAUUGAUGUGACUGCUUUCAGCCUUAUGGUGCCUGCGUUGCCUGCAUGGUGCUCUGCUCCUUUCUUGAUUCUGAACCCCUGGCCUGAAGGUUGCUCUGAAGGUUGCAUGCUCCUCUACCAAAAAUGUCUGUCCGUAAUGUGAGCUUACUGGUGCUGUCAUUCUGUUUUGCCUCUUUAUUUUCUUACUUCUGUAUGAGCACUCUGGAUGAGCACUGGUCAGUUAAUUUCUUAUGAUGCUUCAAGGUUGAGCAUCUGGGGAAAAAAAGGAAGUCGAUCCAUGUGUGUGUUUUGUAUUCCAGAAUUUCAGUUUUAGACGCCGAAAUCUCUGGGGAAUUUUAUUCAAAUCCCUGGGCUUGAUUCUGGGUCAAUACUUUAUACUGACCUCAACUAUUAUUUAGAUUUGAAUGCAUCUGAAAAUGGCAUGAACAUGGUAUUUUUUAAAGUUCUAGUAUUAUGCAAACAACUUGGAAUAAUUUUUUGUUGUAAAACUUGAAACCUGGAUCUAAGGUGACUUUGAAACUGAACCCCAACCUAAACUGAAUCCAGAUAUCUGUG